UAGUCCACGCCGUAAACGAUGUCUACUCGGAAUUUGGCCUCUUGAAGACUGGGUUCUCAAGCUAACGCAUUAAGUAGACCGCCUGGGGAGUACGGCUGCAAGGUUAAAACUCAAAUGAAUUGACGGGGGCCCGCACAAGCGGUGGAGCAUGUGGUUUAAUUCGAUGCAACGCGAAGAACCUUACCUACUCUUGACAUCCAGAGAAGUUACCAGAGAUGGUUUCGUGCCUUCGGGAACUCUGAGACAGGUGCUGCAUGGCUGUCGUCAGCUCGUGUUGUGAAAUGUUGGGUUAAGUCCCGCAACGAGCGCAACCCUUAUCCUUAUUUGCCAGCACUUCGGGUGGGAACUUUAGGGAGACUGCCGGUGAUAAACCGGAGGAAGGUGGGGACGACGUCAAGGUCAUCAUGGCCCUUAGAGUAGGGGCUACACACGUGCUACAAUGGGGCAUUACAGAGGGGUUGCGAAGCCG
rnacentral:rRNA from 1 species